rnacentral:lncRNA from 1 species
AUUUUGCAUUUUAUUUUGUGAUAUUUUAUAUUUAGGUUGUACCUGUAAUCACUAGUUUUUUAAAGAGUGUUUUAUAUUUGAUACUUUUAUACUUUCUAAAUUUUUAAAUCAAACAUUUGCCCUGAAGUUCCAAAUAAAGUGAGAAAUAUAAUCACAUUUGAGUGAGUAAACCACUUUAAAAUGUUAAUGGUCAAUGUAUAUAACAUUGAAUUUACAGAAAUAGGUCUGGGCAAUAUGACAAAAAUAUCAUAUCACGAUCCUGAAAACAUCUCAUGUGUCAUCUCAUCCUGAUAACUCCUGAUAACUAAGUCAUCUAACGUAAUCAAGCUAACUUAAGUGAAUUCUGAAAUUGACUGAUUUCGAGGUUCUUCGUGAAAAUAGGAACAAAAAAGCUUUAAAUUUCAAGUGGAAACGGAAGAGUACAACUAAAUCAUCUUGUAAUGCGUAAACACUAAAGCUCAAACUUAGCAACAUAUCUUUUUAAAAAAUAAACGGUCAAUUGAAGUUAAAAACGGCGUCUCUUUUAUAGGUCUACAUGUGUAUAUUUGCAUAGGUUUGUAAACAAAAAAAAAACAUGUAUACGAAGCAAAACGCGUAAAUCAGUAGUCAUAUGUUAUCUAAUGUUACAGAUGCUAAUAUUUAGCAGAAAGCGCACGCCUGACCUAAAACUGUGAGCCCUGGCGUGAGAGUCCAUAACGGCGAUCACAAGAACGGAAAACAGUCGGAAAGUGUGUAAGGCUUGAUUAAACCCGAUUCAGUCCAAAUUACGGCAAUUUGUUGUUACUGACCUUAAGGCACACUGAUGAUGAAAUUCAGGUGGAUCAAUUAACGUUAGCGAUGGACAGUCAUUCCCGGCCUGCACGACGGCGAACGCUGCUUGAUUGAGCAGUAUGAAGUAUGGAGCGAGCACAUGGGACUAUUAACCACACGAAGACUACUAAUUCUCUGUUCUCCAGUAACUUCUGUUCCACCCGCUGGCUAAUGCGUUGUAGAUCAGCCUGAAUGCUGGGUCUCUGAGCUAGAUCCUCUUGAAGGCAGCGGGCAAUCUCCAGACAGCCGACAUCUUCCCUGCGCACCAACCGUCUCACAACUUGCAGACAGCGAUCUCGCAACGUCAGCA